rnacentral:lncRNA from 1 species
UUUCGCGGAGAAACCGAGCGCGCCAGCCCGGCUGCUCGGCAGGCGGGCGGUGGGCGCGUCCUUCCCUAGCACGGAAGCCCGCGCCGGGCGGGCGGGCGGGAGCGCCUACUCCGGAGGACGCCAGCCGCCUGCUCUCUUUUGUUCUUGGCCGGGAGCUGCCUGCCGCAGCCCAACCAAUCACCACCCGGCCGCCCCCUUCCCCUCCAGUCCGCGCCACUCUGGGGGUUCUCCCCACUCGCGCCCCCCGGUCCCACGCACACCUCCCACUGACUCGACCCCUGCCUGGCUACCCCCAGUCAGCCACUUCCGCGGGUGCUCUCUGGCCUGCAGUGUUUGUGAAAAGGACUUACUCUGGCCCGUCACUUGUUUCCAAUCCUGGCAACCUUUUGGACAACGUUUUUGAAAUUAGCAUCCCUUUCUGAAGAUUUAUGAUGAAGGAGAUUUCUGGCUUUCAGAGUGACUUCAGGAAUGGGAGAUACUUCUUAGAAGAUGCAUUGAAUAUCAUCCAGAUCAUUAAAGGCCACAUACCAAUAAAAUUUGAACUUCUCUAGAGGAGAGGCUAUUUUAUUCACUCACAUGUGCCUAAUACUUAUCACAAAAACUGACCCAGCUUUAGACCAGGAAUGGCAAAUAGGUUUCACUAACUCUGCCAAUUCCAGACUAUUAGUAAUGGUGAUCUGGAACCCUGUAGAGGAGAAUGCAUUCUGAAACUGCAUCCAGGGAUCAGUGGGAAAGAUUCUAUGAUUAGUUAGCAAUGUCUGCCAUGGGUGCCAAAGACAAAAUGGUAGCACAUGCAACACAUACUCGCCAUCUGAGGCCUAAAGAUUUCACGACCAUGGGAUCUUGGCUGAUCAUGUGGGGCACUGAAUUAAGAGCAUUGUUUGCCUAGGAACUCAUCAUAGGACCAGAAGGAUUUUAAGCUAAUAAUGGAUGAUAUGACAGAAAAGCCAAUGAAUCGGUCUGUUAAUUACUGUAAAGGAAGUCAGGUUUGAUGGAAAGAAAAUUAAUAGUCAAGAGUGUUGGUAGGAAGUCAAUGUGAAAUGGAAAGAUAAUCCAAAACAAUACUUUGACCUCCAAUUUCUAUGGUAGCAUCUUUUCCCAGACAGAUGUUCCAUGGGAAACUGCUCUUCCAGACAUUUAUAAACAGGCCUACUCCCGGUAUUUUUGAGACCCGAGUAUAAAUUGAAGAGAAUAAAUUGAAGCUGCAUAUCAUAUGAAAACAUUGAAAAGUUUAUAAAUCAAGCUAACAUACUGUUAGAUAAAAUAUCUUCUAGCCACCUACUUUGACAAAAAUACCUUCAAAAUGAUAAAAUUGAAAAAUCUGUAAAUAGCUAUGGUCUUUACAUGAUUGAAAGGUGGCAAAAAUCAAGGAUGAAUUUAAUUAUUAUUGUGCAUGUUUGGUGGUUCUGUUGAUGGUCCAGUGAUGUUUGGGUGAGUAAUAACAUAAAGGCAUACAUGAUUGUUCAGUUAUUUUGUAUUUAUUCUAUAGCAUUUACUCCCUUGCCUUCAUUUCAUCAAAAUCAAGAUUUAUAUAAGAUACUUUUUUUGACAAUAAUGUCAACUAGAUAUAACCAAUGUCUGUAAUAUAUAACUGUAGUUUCUGAAUGGUUUAAAAAAUUAUUUCCAUUUGGAGAAAUGUUGCUCUGCUGGGGCAGCGUCAACUGUAAUUGCCAAUAAUAUUCUCAAAGUAACACCUAGAUUUGGAAACCAGGAAUUUUACAUAUCAUGUAUAUCAUUACAAUGGUGUUGCAUAUAUAAAUGAUCAUUAUCAAAGAAUAUAUUACAAAAAUAUUUAAUUUCAUAUAUUAAUACUUACAUCAUGCUUUUUAAAACCAUCUUAUCUGGAUUCAAAUAGUAUUUCUUAAAUUCUUUCAAAAACAUUUUUCAUUGUUGGGAUAUUCUAAAGAAAAUCAAAAACAGAAAUAUCAUACUUGAUUGGUUUAAAUUUCUCUUUUAGAGACCACAUCCUGAUAUACUUUGACCAGAAAGUGGUUUCCAUAGAAAUUCGUUUCAGGAUCAUUUGUAGGUAAAUCUCCUUGAGAGUCAUGCAGAUUCCUUUGUUUUCAUGUUCUGAUAUCCUAAUAUUUUAUUGAAAUACCAUGCUUUGUCACAUAUUUCUUUUCUUUUCUUUUUUUCGAGACAGAGUCUCGCUCUGUUGCCCAGGCUGGAGUGCAGUGGCGUUAUCUCGGCUCACUGCAAGCUCUGCCUCCUGGGUUCACGCCAUUCUCCUGCCUCAGCCUUCCAAGUAGCUAGGACUACAGGCGCCCGCCACUACACCUGGGUAAUUUUUUGUAUUUUUAGUAGAGAUGAGGUUUCACUGUGUCAGCGAGGAUAGUCUUGAUCUCCUGACCUCGUGAUCCACCCACCUCGGCCUCCCAAAGUGCUGGGAUUACAGGUGUGAGCCACCGCGCCCGGCCUCUUUGUCAGGUAUUUCACAUGAGGUUUCUUUUUGUUUUUUAGAAAAACAAUUUUCUCUAAAAUUAAAAAAGAAUUUAAUCAUUUUAUUAGUGAAAUCAUUCUAUAAAAUGAGGUUUUGCUAAGAAUUUUAGUAGCAAGCAAUAGUUUAUACCAAAUAACGAUGAACAGUGCAACUUCAAUUUUUUUCAUUUCAUUUUUCAACAAAUACCAUAAUACACUUUCAAUUUGAGGUUCUUCUAUUGUUUCACUGAACUCCUUUUGGACAUUUCAUAUCUUGCCUAAAUUAAAUCUAAUUUCUUGAACAACAUUCAGUUGGAUUACUAAUUAGCGUCCUAGGAUGGUUGUAAUAUCAAAUUCAGUAUGUUUUUCUCAAGAUUGUUCCAUCUUUGGGCAGACCUAGAAAAUAUAAUAUAUAAUCUUUUAAAACCGCUUCAAAGAAUGUCUCUAUCAGAAUAGCUGAGGCCACAUCUUCUAACAUCAAAUUCAAACAAUUUGACAUACAUGACACAAAGAAUGCUCUGGAUUUGACAGCAGAAUUCUGGCUUAUGCACCCUUUUAUUAACUAUGUUAGGGCCCUCAACAAUCUUUGACAUUCCUUAUAUUAUUUAUAUAAAAUGAAAAUGUUUUAAUUUUAACUUUAAACUGUAUUAAAUAUUGUCAUGAAAAUAAAAGUAUUUGCCCUUUAAGCAUAAGAUUAAAUGGCUUCUACCCACCUACUAGUCUAUCUAGUUACCAAUGUAAAGAAUUGGUAUCAUAUAGUCUAUUGCACAUCUAGACAAAUGCAUAUAUAC